AUAGUUACUUGGCAGGGGACAUACUAUGAUCACGAAGGUGGUUUCCUGGGGCAAGACUUACCCAUUAUACUCCAGCUAUUCUAACCCCUGCGAUUUUCUCAAACCAGGGAUAAUUGACUGCAUAAUUCAUAGUGGUGGGCGACUGCUUUCAUGGUCUUCCA